UACGUAGGUGGCAAGCGUUGUCCGGAAUUACUGGGUGUAAAGGGAGCGCAGGCGGGGAAGCAAGUCGGCUGUGAAAUGCAUAGGCUUAACCUAUGAAUUGCAGUUGAAACUGUUUUUCUUGAGUGGAGUAGAGGUAGGCGGAAUUCCGAGUGUAGCGGUGAAAUGCGUAGAUAUUCGGAGGAACACCAGUGGCGAAGGCGGCCUACUGGGCUCUAACUGACGCUGAGGCUCGAAAGCGUGGGGAGCAAACAGGAUUAGAUACCCUGGUA
rnacentral:rRNA from 1 species